CUGAUCUUGUAGUCAGCUGUUAGAACAUUAGAGCCCUUUUCUCCUUCCCUUUCAUUCAGUGGUAUCACAGGAUGAGAAGCUGGGCUCAGAACUGCUUCAACAUAUGGCAUGGUUGGAAGAAAUAUUUUCUAUGGAAUUAGGUGGAGGACGACGAUAUUCCAGAAACUUCAUCUUGCUGGUUUCCACUUCUUCAGCCCUGAAAGAGGGCCCUGGAUGGAAACUGAGCAGCUGGAGGGUUCUUUGUGAAAUCCUGAGAAGAAUGUGGGGAGGCUGUCAAGGAGUGGAAGUCCUCACAUCUCUAGUGAGAACACUCAGCCGUGCUCUGGGGCUCAGCUCCUGGCAAAGCAGUGGCAGACCGAGUCCACACGAUGCUCUGCUCUCCAUGGGAUCUCCAAGGAUGGGCUCAGCUCUCACUGGGUAUCAGCACCGAGAGCUGUAGAGAAGGGUGGUGUCCCUGUGGAACCGCUGUGAUGAGUGGUGGCCCUUAGCCGGUUAUUAACUCCCACCCCCAAAUUAAUAUGAGACAGAAAUAUGUAAAAAAUACUUUCCUUUUUGCUGAGGUCACAAAAUAUGGAUUUUCUCCUCUUUACACUGCAGAGCUUCUUUCUGAUUCGGAAAUGCUUUCGUAGUCGUUAAGUUUAAAUGCCUGAGAUUUUUGAGCUGACCUGUGCCCUCCGGAGGAUACUUGCAUUUGUUUUUAACCUGUCUCUCACCUUCUUUGCUUUUGUCUGCCUGGAUCUGCUCCAUUGAGCCCUUCUGUGGAAAGAGGUAGAAAACUCUGUCCUUUGGUCUCCCAUCUGAUCCUGCUUGUUGGUGCAUUUGUCUGGCAGGGGGAUGCUGUCAUUACCUCCAACCUCACGUACUUCUACUGGUAUCAAAGUCAACAUCAGUGCUGGUGAUGCAGUGAUCUGACUCCAACAGGAGCUGAGAAAAGACAAGAGGAGUUAAAAUUAACAAUAUAAAACUCAAAGUGAACACAAAAGUGGUAUGGGAAUGCAGGUACAGAGCCAUAAGGGGAGCAAGGUGGGUGAGGUAAAAAUGGGGAUGAAAAAUAAAUGGGUGACCCAAUGAUUCA
rnacentral:lncRNA from 1 species